rnacentral:rRNA from 1 species
UACGUAGGGUGCAGGCGUUAAUCGGAAUUACUGGGCGUAAAGCGUGCGCAGGCGGCUCCUUAAGUCAGAUGUGAAAGCCCCGGGCUUAACCUGGGAACUGCGUUUGAAACUGGGGAGCUAGAGUGUAGAAGAGGGGGGUGGAAUUCCAGGUGUAGCAGUGAAAUGCGUAGAUAUCAUUUGGAACGCCAAUGGUGAAAACAGGUAGCUGGGGCUGUGCUGACACUGAGACACGAAAGCCAGGGGAGCAAACGGG